rnacentral:lncRNA from 1 species
GCCCCCCUCCCCCUCCCGCCCUUUCCUCAUCCCCCGCCCCCACCACGGCCCCCCGCCCCAACCCCCUCGGACAUGACCCUAUCCACCCAUUACUGCCCACAGCCACAACUAGACGAAAGUAUAAGAGAAUAUAAAGAUAAUAUAAAGAUAUAAAGACAUAAACGAUGGUAAUAGCAAAGCAGCAGCAAGUAAUACAAGGCUCACACAAAUUCAAAGAAAUACUCCAGCAACCAAAUUAUACUCAAUUACUAGUAUAAUACGAAGAAUGAAAGAGUGCAGAAUGAAGAAUGAAAUAAGCAAAGGUUAGAAGUCACCAGAUUUCGCUUGUAGACCAAACCGGCAACCAAGCCCCGCGUCG